ACCCACCACCGCUCCGCGCUCCGCGCCCCGCGCGACGGCCCCAGCCGGGUCAGGAGAAUGGACGCUGCGCCCCCGGCUUUCUGGGAGGAGAAUGCACAGGUCGGCCCCGCUGCCUUGCUCGCCCCCUUCUCGCUGCCCCUGCGCACCGAAUUUCUCCGGGAAUCGCCCACACGAGCCCGAUGCCGCCCUCUCCUUCCGGCGGCGGCCGCGCGGGGCCAGCUGCCCUGGACGCCCGCCCCCCACCCAAGUGCCGGCGCGGCCCGGAGACUCCGCCGCUCCAAGUUCGCCCGCGGUCGCACGAGCUUGAACGCAUCCCGCAGUUGGCGGACAGCGAGAUGGUCUCAGUGAAGGAGUUUGGGUGUUUCUCAUGAAGUGCCAUUGAUCCCUAUGAGAAAUCUGUUUGUAGUGCUCCAUGCCUGCUCGGAGAGUCCAAGAACUGCUAAAAACUGAUGGCCCUUGUUCAAGACAACAGGAAGUUUUCAGGUCGCGUGUUUCCUUUCCAGAGAGUUGUUUUGUGGAUAGCAAUGGAGUCUUUAGCAUUCACAAGAUUUAGAGGACUUCAGCAUAAUUUUAUCUUCACAUACCAACAAUCG